GACGGACGCUGGCGGCGUGCUUAACACAUGCAAGUCGAACGGAAAGGCCCUGCUUUUGUGGGGUGCUCGAGUGGCGAACGGGUGAGUAGCACGUGAGUAACCUGCCCUUGACUUUGGGAUAACUUCAGGAAACUGGGGCUAAUACCGGAUAGGAGCUCCUGCUGCAUGGUGGGGGUUGGAAAGUUUCGGCGGUUGGGGAUGGACUCGCGGCUUAUCAGCUUGUUGGUGGGGUAGUGGCUUACCAAGGCUUUGACGGGUAGCCGGCCUGAGAGGGUGACCGGCCACAUUGGGACUGAGAUACGGCCCAGACUCCUACGGGAGGCAGCAGUGGGGAAUAUUGCACAAUGGGCGGAAGCCUGAUGCAGCAACGCCGCGUGCGGGAUGACGGCCUUCGGGUUGUAAACCGCUUUCGCCUGUGACGAAGCGUGAGUGACGGUAAUGGGUAAAGAAGCACCGGCUAACUACGUG
rnacentral:rRNA from 1 species